UUCCGUAGGGUAACCUGCGGAAGGAUCAUUACCGAGUGCGGGCCCUCUGGGUCCAACCUCCCAUCCGUGUCUAUCUGUACCCUGUUGCUUCGGCGUGGCCACGGCCCGCCGGAGACUAACAUUUGAACGCUGUCUGAAGUUUGCAGUCUGAGUUUUUAGUUAAACAAUCGUUAAAACUUUCAACAACGGAUCUCUUGGUUCCGGCAUCGAUGAAGAACGCAGCGAAAUGCGAUAAUUAAUGUGAAUUGCAGAAUUCAGUGAAUCAUCGAGUCUUUGAACGCACAUUGCGCCCCCUGGUAUUCCGGGGGGCAUGCCUGUCCGAGCGUCAUUGCUGCCCUCAAGCACGGCUUGUGUGUUGGGCUUCCGUCCCUGGCAACGGGGACGGGCCCAAAAGGCAGUGGCGGCACCAUGUCUGGUCCUCGAGCGUAUGGGGCUUUGUCACCCGCUCCCGUAGGUCCAGCUGGCAGCUAGCCUCAGCAACCAAUUAGUCAACCAGGG
rnacentral:rRNA from 1 species